GAGCUUGCGCGCGCUCGCGUCGUCGGCCGGGUGGCCGACCCCGAGGGAAUCCAGUCGAAGCUGGAGCUGCCCCGCAGCGGUAUGGGGAACGAAAUCCAUGACCAGGCACUGACCGCCGUGCGGUCGGGAAGCCGUGGAGAGUAGGUCGCCCCGAGCCCGAAGACCUGACGUGAGACACGCGCCCGC
rnacentral:ncRNA from 2 species